rnacentral:rRNA from 1 species
GACGAACGCUGGCGGCGUGCUUAACACAUGCCAGUCGAACGGUGAACUCCGCUUGCGGGGGGAUCAGUGGCGAACGGGUGAGUAACACGUGGGCAACCUGCCCUCAGCUCUGGGAUAACUCCAAGAAAUUGGGGCUAAUACCGGAUAUGACCGCUGACCGCAUGGUCUGGUGGUGGAAAGAUUUAUCGGCUGGGGAUGGGCCCGCGGCCUAUCAGCUUGUUGGUGGGGUAGUGGCCUACCAAGGCGACGACGGGUAGCCGGCCUGAGAGGGUGACCGGCCACACUGGGACUGAGACACGGCCCAGACUCCUACGGGAGGCAGCAGUGGGGAAUAUUGCGCAAUGGGCGAAAGCCUGACGCAGCGACGCCGCGUGGGGGAUGACGGCCUUCGGGUUGUAGACCUCUUUCAGCAGGGACGAAGCGAAAGUGACGGUACCUGCAGAGGAAGCACCGGCCAACUACGUG